AUUGAACGCUGGCGGCAGGCCUAACACAUGCAAGUCGAGCGAGCGGCGGACGGGUGAGUAAUGUAUGGGGAUCUGCCUGAUAGAGGGGGAUAACUACUGGAAACGGUGGCUAAUACCGCAUCCUAUCAGAUGUACCCAUAUGGGAUUAGCUAGUAGGUGGGGUAAUGGCUCACCUAGGCGACGCUCCCUAGCUGGUCUGAGAGGAUGAUCAGCCACACUGGAACUGAGACACGGCCCAGACUCCUACGGGAGGCAGCAGUGGGGAAUAUUGCACAAUGGGCGCAAGCCUGAUGCAGCCAUGCCGCGUGUGUGAAGAAGGCCUUCGGGUUGUAAAGUACUUUCAGCGGGGAGGCGUUACCCGCAGAAGAAGCACCGGCUAACUCCGUGCCAGCAGCCGCGGUAAUAC
rnacentral:rRNA from 1 species